rnacentral:tRNA from 1 species
GCCCGUGUGGCGGAAUUGGUAGACGCAUUGGAUUCAAAAUCCAACGAGUUCUACUCGUGCCGGUUCGACUCCGGCCACGGGUACCA